GCUCUUCUGAUCGAAACCCUCGCGACCAUUCACGCUCGCUCACCCUCCAUUCUCUUCUCCUCUCUCUCCUUUCCUCUCCAUCGAUGGCGAGGGAAAGCGGCGACGACGAGGCGUCCAUCGAGCAGCAGUUGGAGCUGCAGGUGGAGGAGCAGAAGGAGUCUCUGGCAGCACUCGACGAAGCCCUCGCUGCUGACCCUUCCAAUCCGGAGCUUCUAUCGGGUCGAACGACUGCUUCUCCUGAUCUCGCUGCUCUCCCGCGCUUCUCCUCUGGUCUGCGCAAGGGACGGUUGCUUCUCCUGAUCUCGCUGCUCUCCUAAGAAACCUGCGCUUCUCCUCUGGUCUGCGCAAGGGACGGUUGCUUCUCCUGAUCUCGCUGCUCUCCUAAGAAACCUGCGCUUCUCCUCUGGUCUGCGCAAGGGACGGCUACUUCUCCCAAUCUCGCUGCUCUCCUAAGAAACCUGCGCAAGGGACGACUGCUUCUCCUCUGGUCUCUGCCUCGCCUCGCCUUGCUCUCCUGCUUCUUCCAGUCUACGCAACCUUCUCCUCCUACUGGUUGUGUGCUUCAUUUCUGAAUAUUACAAGAGUUUAAAAGAUGGAAAACUUACAAGAAGAUAUAAAAAAAAAAGAUAUUGGAUGGAAUUAUGGGAGGAUGGUCAACCCAGACAAGAUUGUUGAUGGAAUAAUAUACAACUUUUGCCAAAAAGUUACAAAGGGUGGGAUAACAAGGCUCAAACAACAUCUUGUUGGAGGAUUUAAAAAUACAAAACUUUGUCCAAAAGUCCCAGCAAUAGUUAAGCAAGAAAUGAAAGAUCACUUUGAAGAAAAGUUAGCCCAAAAAACUGUCAUGGAUUCCAUACCUCACUUUGAUGAUAUUUUUGACAUAACAGAAGAGCAAGGAGAUGAUAUUGACUCACACAAGGAUCCCUCUAGUAUAAAGAGGUCGACAUCUAUUUCUUCCUCGGCCAACUCGUCAAUAUUACAGCCCAAAAAACCUCGACAAUUGGGACCUAUAAAUGCUUUCUUUAAGCUAGAAGCCAAGAAUCAAGGUGGCAAAGGACCCCAAUUUAAUGAAGUUAAAAAAAAACUCAGUUCUGAUGCAGCUCAAAAAUUUGCAAGGUGGAUGUAUGAUUCUGGAAUCGCAUUCAAUGCGGUCAAAUAUGAUAGUUUCAAGCCAAUGAUUGAAGCAAUUGGACAAUAUGGUCCUUGGAUGAAACCACCUAGUUAUCAUGAGGUGAGAGAACCUCUUUUGAAAGAAGAGAUCAACCAUACAAUGCUGAUUUUGAAACAGAAUAAAGAAGAGAUGGCGAAGAAUGGUUGUACUUUAAUGGCUGAUGGGUGGAGAGAUAGAAAGGGGAGAUCACUUAUCAAUUUCUUAGUGAAUACCCCAAAAGGCAGCAUGUUUAUUGAAUUAGUUGAUGCAUCUAGCUACUCUCAUACUGGUGAGAAGAUGUUUGAGUUGCUUGACAAGUUUGUGCAAAAAGUUGGGGUGCAUAAUAUUGUUCAAGUGGUCACCGACAGUGCAUCGAAUAAUGUUUUUGCUGGAAAGAAGUUGAUGGAUAAAUAUCCAAAUUUGUAUUGGACCCCGUGUGCGGCACAUUGUUUGGAUUUGAUGUUUGAGGACAUAUUCAAAAUGCCGGAUUUGAAGAGGGCGCUUGAGCGGGCAAUCAUUGUUAACGGAUAUAUUUACAACCGAACUAUGUUGUUGAACAUGAUGAGAGAGUUCACCGGCCAAAGAGACCUUAUAAGGCCAGCUAAAACUCAUUUUGCCACUGCUUUCUUGACUAUGAGAAGCUUUCAGCAGCAUAAGCAAAAUUUGAGAAAGAUGUUUACUUCAUAAAAUUGGAGUAAAAGCAAAUUUGCGAAGGAAUAGACUGGUAAGCAAGCGCAGAAAAUUAUAUUGAUGCCUUCAUUUUGGAAUUCCAUCAUUUAUGCUAUGAAAGUUGGUGGCCCAUUAUUGGAGGUACUUCGGUUGGUGGAUGGGGAGAAGAAGCCUGCCAUGGGUUAUAUAUAUGAGGCAAUGGAUAGGGCUAAGGAGAAAAUAGCAAAAGCCUUUGGUAAUAAUGAGGAUAGGUACAAAGAUGUUUUUGAGAUGAUUGACCAUAGGUGGCAGUUGCAGCUCCAUCAAGAUUUGCAUGCAGCGGGUUAUUUCUUGAACCCCGAGUUCUUUUACUCAAAUUCUGAGAUAGAACAAGAUGAAGAACUAGUUAUGGGGUUGUACAAUUCAAUCAGUAGGUUGAUUGAUGAUCCCAAGUUAGAGGGAACAAUACAUACAGAGUUGUUAAAAUACAAACAAGCCGAAGGUCUUUUUGGAAAGCAAAUUGCAAUCCAAAUGAGAAAGGUUGUAUCACCAGCUGCAUGGUGAAACUCGUAUGGAGCUUCGACACCAAAGUUGCAAAGACUUGCCCAGAAGAUACUCAGUCUCACUUGUAGCUCUUCUGGUUGUGAGCGCAAUUGGAGUGUGUUUGAACAUCUUCAUUCCAAGAAAAGGAAUAGAUUGGAGCAAAAACGCCUGAAUGAUUUGGUGUUCAUUAAGUACAACAGAGCUUUGAGGCGUAGAUACGAUAGUCGUGAUACCAUCGAUCCUAUCAUAUUGAGUGAAGUAGAUGAUGGAAAUGAAUGGUUGGUAGGGAGACUGGAGGAUGAAGAGCUUGACUUUGUUCAUGAUGGUGAUGAUUUGACUUGGCUAGAUGUUGCAGAUGCUGUUGGAGUAAAUGAAGCUCCUUAUACAUUGAGAAAAUCCAAAGGGGCCUCGAAAGCGACCCCUACAUCUACGCAAGUCGCAAAGAUGACCACAUCUGCACCUACAGGAAGUUUGAAGGCGUCCACAUCUAAGUCUAGAGGGAAAAGGCCGAUAGGAACAUCUACUACCCUUGAUCUUGUAGAUGAAGAGGAUGAAUUCGAUUUUGAUGAAGAAAGUGAAGAGGAGAAUGAUGCCGAGCGUUAUGCAAUUCCAAAUGAAGAAGAUGGUCUCGAUCUUGAUGAAGAAGUUGAAGAUGAAGAUGAAUUUUAGAUUAUGUUUUUUUUUAUUUUUAGAAUUGAGGUUUUAUAUGCCUUGAACAGUUGAACCUAUAUAUUUGUUAUUUAAGUAUGAA